UACAAACCAGGCAGCCAGAAAUGUAAGGAGGCUGAGAAAAGGGUACUGAAAGAAGGUAAAGUACCCCACUCAGUCUUCCAGUUUUUCAAAACAGACAAGGUCUUUCUGCAGUCUGUCUCAGGAAAUAUGCUAAGGAAGUAGAUGAGCAAAAACAAGAUGAAAAUGACUGGCAACUGAUGGUGAGGAAAAGCUGCUAGAUGCAUCACGCGACUCCAGACUAAUGCUUUCAGUAGAUGGGCAGAUAAUACCAUCAUAUUCAGAAGGAUGUUUACAAAAAGCAGGAGAGAGCCGUGUGCAUGUUUUUGUUUUUGCUUUCAAAAUUCCAAGCAUGUGACCUUAAAAAAAAAAAAGGUCUAUCCAUACAAAUGUUCUUCUAUGUGAUGCCUUGACUUUUGAAUUAUGGCAUGCAUAAUUUUCUUGAUUUUCCCCUCAUGUUAUUUAUUUGUUAGUGAAUCAGCUUCCACACACAUGCCUCAAGAUGAUGGAUAAAAUUAAAUAAAAACAGUUAAAAACAACACUGAUGAAAUAAGGCCAGGCAAAUUUUAAAAACAAUGUGACAUAGGUAACUGUUGUGUAGACCUGUUCAUUCAGCUAGGAAACGUAAGACUUCCACCAAGAGGCAAGAAUAGUUUUAGAGCUUUAGCUAUAUCCUUAUCAAGCGUGAACCUCCAAUAGAAAUUCAAUUCUCUGCAAGCUGUGUAAGGCUCCUCUUCAAGCUGGAUGCUGUAUUUAAAAAUCAUGUGAAAAGCUCCAUUGUGGACAAAAUGUAGAAAAUAUCAUGUCAGGAUUAAAAUAGCAACUUUUAUUUCAUGACCAGCGAUGGUUUGCGUGGGAUGGGAAUGGAGACAAAUGUGGGAGGGGCCCUUGUUGGGUUGGGUGGGCCCUUGUCCUGAUCCAGCAGGCUCUUGUGUUCUUAUGGGAGAUGCACAGUGCAAUGACAUUCCAUCACACAUUGUGGGUGUGGGACACUGUAAGUCAGGGAUGGGGAACCUUCAGCUCCCAUCAUCCUGGUUCUGCCCCAGACCAACAUAGCAGUAAUGUAAUAAUGUCACUGUCUUUAAACCAAAGGUUAUCUUGUGUAUGCUGCUGCUUUUUUUGUUGCAUUGCGUUGUAUUUGGUUUAUUUACACUGAUUGUUUUACAAUUUUAUGUUUUAUUUUUCAGCAUUUAUUACUGAUCACUGCUCGGAGUAAACAACACGGGGCCAAUGUAGCAUGUGAUCAGGAACCAAAGGACUGCUGCUUGUGGCAAGGAGGCAAACAGGAGAGAGGAGGUAAGAGGUAAGAGGAGGUAAUCCUCUCACCACCAUCUACAGCUACCCCCUUUGUCCUGCUAACUUGCACCUGCUGAGCCUCUUACCAUUUGGCAAGUCAGCCCCAGCAGCUGAGAGCAGCAGCAGUUGUGUUAUCUCGGCACCUGCAGCCAAUCUGCAUCUGGCUGCAGCACCAACUACAAAGCAUAGACAGAGCCGCUGCUACAAUUAUUUUAACUAUUUCUUCAGAUGAAGGUCAGUAUGGAAAUAAUAAUAAUAAUAAUAAUGCUGCAAAUAAACAAAUUCAUCAAAAUAAUUCAAAAAUAUUGAAUUAUACCUGAAAGUAGAUCCUAUUAUUUCUAGGUGAACUGAAGGCGAAUUAAGUGUCUUUUGUGUAGAACUUUGGGAGAUGUUAAAUUCAAUUCUCUUUCUCUCUCUGGGUUUCUUCACACUUACUCUCUGUUUAAUUGUUGCCAUUGCAGUUACCAUUUUUAACCUAUCUGAAAAGUGAUGUAGCUGUUUACGUUUUAAAGAUCACAAUUGUUGGGGGGGGGGAAUAAACAAACAAUUGUUCACAUUUACACUGUGUAUAGGUUUCGGUGCUUUCUUAGUCUAUUUUAUACUUUAAGCAGAGCAGCUUGUAAAAUUCUGAAGGCUGAAAAACAACACUGAGGACCACUUGAACGAACUGUGAAUUAAACUGAAACAGAUUUGGUUACUUUCUCAUACAGUCAUAGAAUUGUAGAGUUGGAAGGGACCCAAAGAGGCAUCUAGUCCAACCCUCUCCAAUGCAGGACUCAUUUGGAAGGGGUGAACUAGGGUUGGAACAAAUUAUUUUUUGGAAGUGGAGACCUGGAACUGGAACUAAUUCCUUUUAAAAAUGAACUUUCCAAGCACUGUUACUGAUAAAACUGUAUAUUCAUUAUGCAUUUAAGCCACCUUGAGAAGGCUGUAUUCAUGAAAGGUGGCUUAAAAAUAUUUGACUAUAUAUAAUCAUAUAAUAAAUAAAAUUAUCGUUGCUUAAACAUUUUAGAUUUUGAAAAUACAUUUUACAAAGCCCUUUUACAACAACAAAAUAACUAGCUUUUAAGAGUCAGCAAAUUGUCUGUUAGGCUUGUGUAGUAGUCUGGGCUGAACUACAUAAUAUCUGUUUGCUUGUUUCUUCCCAUGCCUACAUUGGCUUAGCAAAAUACUGUCAUUUUCUGACUCCAUCUGCUAUAUAUGAUAUGAUGAAUGUAGCCAUUCUUCUUUCCCCAUCAUUACAGCUGGUCUUUGAUCCAAAGCAGCUAAUUUAUAUUUACCAUCUAACAGCUACCAUCAUAAGUUUUAGGGAAAGAGGCUCAGGCACACCUGGGCAGAAUGAAUUUUCUUUGAUGCAGUUGGAGAAUAUCUCAAAAUGUGAUUAAGAGUCAUUCAUCCUACUCUUGAUGGGCCACAUGGGAAUCAUCUUUAACUUUCAUAGCGGAGAGCAUUUGUUUGCUUAAAUCACCAUAAAUACUUCCAAAUUCAUUUGAUGUUAUAAUCUGCUGCCAUCAUUACAUCACAGUCAUCUAAGGGUACCUGUUUUCCCUUAUAUGUUGAGAUCAAGUUGCAUAUAGCUUCCUAGGCCAGCAUCUCUUCCCAACCCAACAUGGAAAUUAAUAUAAACUUAGACUGAAGUUAAAGGUUUACUUGUAUUUAACAGCUGUAGAUGUAUGGUUACAGGAUUACGUCUUCUGCAAAAACUUGUUGACAUGUUAAUAUAUUUAAGGAAAUCCCUGACAGUCACAACAUAAAACACUCCUAAUUUCAGAAUUGGGUAAUUUUACACAGCAUAGUCACAGUCCAAACCUGUUUGCAUGUAGCCAUAGUUAACUACUCUCAGCAGUGCCAGUUAACACUUUAGCAGGGAUUGCAUACAACAAGGAAGGUGAUGUUCAGUAUAUCCAGUUGAGUCUAUAGAUAUGUGAGGCCCUGGCUGGUGGAUUGUAUUGUGGAAUUGUGCUCAGAGCAGCUAUUUGCACGCAAUUCCUUAUUUAGCUGGGGAUAUUACUGUAAAUCUAUUAAACACUAAUAAGAACUGAACCUAUCAGGUUGGAUAGAGAGAGAUGCUGUCACAGGGCAGGAAAUUAGUAUAUAAACUGAAGGUAGUAUCAGCAUUAAGGAAAGUAAUCUGUACCUGUGGUUUGAACAGCACAACCAUAAAAUGGUGCAAACUGCACUUUGUUUCAUCUUUGUAUAUAUAAAAAAAUGCAAACUGGUCCAUCCUCCAUACCCCGCAAGUGUUCCCAGAAAAACCAGGCCAUCCUGUUUUUCCCCAUGAGAGCAUGCUGGCCAUUGGGGGCACCAUGAUAUUGUGCCGAGAUCUCACCCCCCAACCACUUUUUCAGGGCUGCAGUCUUGCCCUCCUCCCCUUUUAGGAUCUGUGAUUUUGCACAGGUCAUGUGACUCAUGAGGGACCACGGAUGGGAAGACACAUGUCCCGGUUUUGCGACUCAACAUAUUGGAGGGUAUGCAUCCUCUUCAUAAUAGGGUAAGAUUUAUGAAGUAUAGAAAGCUGCCUUCUACCAAGGCACACUUAUUUGUCCAUCUAGUAUAGUACUGUCAGCUUUGGAUAGCAGCAGCUCUCCAGGAUCUCAGGCAGAGAGCUUUCCGAAUACCUGCCACCUGAUAUUUUUAACUGGAAAUGUCGAAGAUUAAGCCCUUAAAGCAGGUGGGGGAAACUUUUGGCCUUCCAGAUGUUAACUGAAAUAUGACUCCCACCAGCCCCUGCAAUCAUGGCCAAUGGCAAGGGAGGUGGAGUUGUAUUUCAGCAUCAUCUGGAGACCCACAGGUUCCCUGCACCUGCUUUAAAGCUUUACAAUGAGUUUUUAAAGUUAGCUAGUUUUAAGUUCCUUUGGGGGCCAAAAAUUGAGUCAGAAAUAAUUUUAUAAAUAAACACAGUAAAAAAGAAAAGAAAAAGGGAACCUUCUACAGGUGAAUCAUCUGCUCUACAACUUAGCUAUGGCCUCUCCCCUAAUUUAAUAUUAUAUAAUUUUAUAUUAAUCUGUGCUCUGUUUUGACCUCCUUUUGUGCAAAGUGUAAGAGGCCACAAGUGUGAUAUGUGGGGGGCUGGUGCUUAUUUGGUUUAGCAUCUCAGCAUUGUCUACUCAAAGGACCAGUUUCAUUCCUACUGAUAUUUGCAUGGUGGCUCAGGAUGUUUCUCCAUCACACUGUUGUAGCACUGCUCUGGAAUGAAUGCAUAAGUCAGGGUGGUGGCACUGAAUGAAUGACCCUGUCAAUUCCUAUGGACACAGCUUUACUGUUAGUCCAGCAUAGGGUCAGUCUGUUUGUUCUGCAAUAUAAAAAGAAAGGUUUAUUGGGUAAGUUUCUGCCAGUUUUCAUCAGGUCUUAUGCAAAAGCUUCCAAAGCCAUGGAAUAUGACUGUGAUUGUGCUAUCUUUGCACAUCCCACAGUGUGAAUUUAGGUGUGUUUACGCAGAAGUACAUCCCAUUGUAUUCAGUGGGACUUACUCUCUGGUAAGUAUUCCUAAGAUUGCAGCCUGAUGAUUUAUAAAACACAUGUUGGAAAUGCUCACAAAGGAUUUCAAGUACAUCAUCUCAGUAAUCCUUAGAACAAAAGGAUCACAGCAGCCAUAUAACUUUGGCUAGGAUUAUUCUCCCCAUUUUUCAGAAAGGGGGCUGAGGCUAAAAAGAAUAGUCACUAGCAUAAUACCACUGGGUGAGUUAAAGAAUGGGUUGAAAUCUGCACAAUGGCUCACACUCUUACCCACUAUGCAAUAAUUAUACUAUACUAUACUAUACUAUACUAUACUAUACUAUACUAUACUAUUAUUUAAAUCCGCCCAUCUGCCUGGGUUUCCCCAGCCACUCAGGGUGGCUCCCAACAGAAUAUG